AAGUUGCCUUUGAAACAUAAAAAUAGUAGUAAGGGUAAUUCUUCUGUCCAUUGGCCGGUGGCGCCUGAGUUGCUGGUAUAUUGAUAAUAUUAGGAGGUGUAGGACAAUUAGAAGAAUGAAAGGAGGAGGAGGAGCACCAGUAUAUGUAAUGUAAGAUGGUGGUGGAGAUUUAGGUGAUGGCUGUGAUGAGGAGGGUGAUGGCGAAUGGGGAGAAGACUGAGAUGGUGAGGGGCGGAGUGGGGCGAAGAGUGGUGGCGGUGGUGGUGCUUGUACUAGUAGCGAUGAUG
rnacentral:lncRNA from 1 species